AAAAACAUCGAGGGUGAAGUACCUGCUUUAGGUGCACCGCACCCACGUCUUCGUACAGACAGAGUAUAAAAGCAAACGCGCAACACGCUUCGAUUGAGUUCAAACUGAGAAGCGCCCAGCGACAGACCCAACGACCUAACAUGCACUGCCGCCUAUUUCUGCUGCUCCUCGUUUCUGUCUUUCUGCUAUUGAGCCCGAGCCUGGCUGCAAAACGUGCACUUGACCCGCAAGAUUCUAAGCCUUCACAGAACAAGAAAGAGCCACAAUCCGGCAUCUACCAUGCAGUCAGCGUUGUAGAAUUUCCGAGCCGAGACCAAUGCGCAAACGGAAUGGUGUUUGACAAACGUACCGGCCAAUGUAGACGAAGCUACAGUGUUGCAUGAUCUUAAAUUAACAUCUUGAUGGAUAAAUUGAAUUGUCCGAAAAGAUUUUCUUUACAACAACAAAAUCAGUUGUUUCAUUUCGUAGAAAAAUUAUUAAGAAGCCAUCCAACACGGGCUUUUUAUUUCAAUUGAAUUGAUUCAAGGAGAAUAAAAAUCGCAGGCAAGAAAAAUUGCAAGAUUACAGUUGAAUUUUAAAACAAUUUUGGUCAGGGUUCGAAAAGCCCGCAUUUUUCCGGAAAAACCUCUUCAUUUUUUGCGGGUGUUUCUGUAAUUUAGCACAUUUUUCCGAAGCACGUGCAUUUUUAUUGAAGAUUCUCAUGAAAAGGGAUUUUUACAAAAGCCACUGUUUCACCAUAAGACCAAAAAUUGUAUCUCUCAUCGUAAUUUUCCAAAAUUCCCUAAGUUUUAGGCGCGAAAUGUGACCUAUUCGAGGUUAAAUUAAGAAAAAUGCCGAAAAUUUUUCGUUUUUUCCAGCCGUAUUUUGCGCUAAAAAAACAAUGGUGCAUUAUUGCACAUUAAAAAACGGCGAGACCUGAUUUUAAUGUGAAUGACAUUCGACUUGGAAAUACCCUUGCUUUUUGCCACUCAAUUUGCACGUAAGUGCAAACAAACAAAGGAGUGUACUUGAGAAUGACUCAGGAACAGUCGAGUACUUUCAGUAUGAACCGAGAAGCAAGAACAGAAGGUCGGCCGCAAAAUGAAUCUCAAAGGAUGCGUGCUGUUCCUCGUCGCAGCUAUUUUGGUCAGCUGCACCAUGUGGACGCCGACUAGUGCCUUGGAAGCAAGCAACUUGAAAUUAAAACCGCAAUCAUCCGGCACAGGAAAGCUGGCGGCCUUCAAUCCCACCAAUAUCGGGAUUGCGCCGAUUAGGGACAACUGCCCAAGAGGAACGAGAUACGACUCACGCUCUGGAAAAUGUAGGAGAAUUUCACUCUAACCUUUUUGUGCAUAUUGUAAUACGGUACAAGGUGAUAGAUUGUGGUGACGGAUUCAAUAAAAAUUUGUAAACGCACAUUGAA